rnacentral:rRNA from 1 species
CACGUAGGGGGCAAGCGUUGUCCGGAUUUAUUGGGCGUAAAGAGCUCGUAGGUGGCUGAGUAAGUCGGAUGUUAAAUCCCCAGGCUCAACCUGGGACACCACCCGAUACUGCUCUGGCUAGAGUCCGGUAGGGGAGCGUGGAAUUCCUGGUGUAGCGGUGAAAUGCGCAGAUAUCAGGAGGAACACCAGCGGCGAAGGCGGCGCUCUGGGCCGGAACUGACACUGAGGAGCGAAAGCGUGGGGAGCGAACAGG